GACGAACGCUGGCGGCGUGCUUAACACAUGCAAGUCGAGCGGUAAGGCCCUUUCGGGGGUACACGAGCGGCGAACGGGUGAGUAACACGUGGGUGACCUGCCCUCAGCUCUGGGAUAAGCCUGGGAAACCGGGUCUAAUACUGGAUAUGACUCCAUGACGCAUGUUGUGGGGUGGAAAGCCUUGUGCGGCUGAGGAUGGGGCCCGCGGCCUAUCAGCUUGUUGGUGGGGUGANGGCCUACCAAGGCGACGACGGGUAGCCGGCCUGAGAGGGCGACCGGGCCACACUGGGGACUGAGACACGGCCCAGACUCCUACGGGAGGCAGCAGUGGGGAAUCUUGCGCAAUGGGCGAAAGCCUGACGCAGCGACGCCGCGUGAGGGAUGACGGCCUGG
rnacentral:rRNA from 1 species